AGUGGCCGGAAGUUCUUUACUCACAUGAAGGAGCUGUGGGAUUAUUGUUGACAUUCUGAUUUGCUGACUGCCUAGCUAACGGAAUGAAAGCAUAUCUGACGAAUUGUUUGGAUUGUGUACACUGCAAGUGAAUGUAAUGACUGUAACAGUGCUUUACUUUGUAACCAAGAUAUCACCACUAUCUAAUGUAAAGGUGUAGCUGUGAGCGGGAAAUGAAAGAUGCUGCUGUCCUUGGGGAUGCUGAUGCUGUCCGCCACCCAGAUCUACACCAUCUUCACAGUUCAGCUCUUCGCCUUCCUCAACCUGCUCCCAGUGGAGGCAGACAUCUCAGCGUACUCUUUCGACAACAAGACAGAGAACUACGAUGACCUCCCUGCGCGCUUCGGCUACCGACUGCCCAGUGAAGGACUGAAGGUUAGGAAGGAGUUAUGAGAGCGGCGCCUAAUUGCCCUCUUGUUUAGGAGGGCACUUUACACGACGCAUACUUUUUAGGCCACGUGGUAUGAUCACUACAAAAAAAUUACAAGUUUGGCACCCUAAAUUCCAACACUCCACCCAUCUAAAAGGCGUACACUGAUGAACGUAAGACCACACACUCUCACCACCAGCACCACCACUCACUCAGUGUGAUGCCAUGCCACACCGCACUGCAUCCCCUCACCCCAUGGCACACAAGGCGAGCAGGCGCCUCAAACAGGCUUUCAGGAAACACAAGGAACUGAAUCACAAAACUAGGGAUGCACGAUACCACUUUUUUACAAACCGAUACGAGU